rnacentral:rRNA from 1 species
AGGAAAAGAAACUAACCAGGAUUUCCUCAGUAGCGGCGAGCGAACAGGAAAGAGCCCAGCACCGAAUCCCGCGGUUCCGCCGCAGGGAAAUGUGGUGUUCGGGAGGAUCCGCUUAUCCCGAGGCGUCGGAUCGCGUCCAAGUCCAUCUUGAAUGGGGCCACUUACCCGCAGAGGGUGCCAGGCCCGUAGCGACCGGUACGCGCCUCGGGAGGAUCUCUCCUUAGAGUCGGGUUGCUUGAGAGUGCAGCUCUAAGUGGGUGGUAAACUCCAUCUAAGGCUAAAUACGACCACGAGACCGAUAGCGAACAAGUACCGUGAGGGAAAGUUGAAAAGAACUUUGAAGAGAGAGUUCAAGAGUACGUGAAACCGUUCAGGGGUAAACCUAAGAAACCCAAAAGAUCGAACGGGGAGAUUCAUCGUCAGCGGCGUUGGCUUCGCGUCGGUGGGCGAUGUCCCGCGCGCGGGUUCGCUCUCGCGCGCGGGCACGCUGCCGUGCGCGCACGUCCGACGUCGUCGUCGUGCACUUCUCCCCUAGUAGGACGUCGCGACCCGCUGGGUGUCGGUCUACGGUCCGAGUGCGGUGUCUGUCGCGUCGCCGGUAAAACGGCACGCGGCAAACCCUCGGUCGCCCGGCCGGCUGCCCGGCGGUACUCGCACGGUAUCAGGCCGCAAAAUUUCGAGCACUCCUCGAAACGCUUUGCGUCAAGCCCGUCGCAAGCGCGCGCCACGGUAAACCGGAGGUUACGGACCCAGCGCCGUCCCCGGUCCUGGCCCGCUGUUGGCCGACGGUGACCCUUUGACAGGCCUUGAACCGGGGGCGCGGCGCGCCUCGCGCGCGCCGCGCUCUCGAUACCGGUCGGCGACGCUACUGCUUUGGGUACUCUUAGGACCCGUCUUGAAACACGGACCAAGGAGUCUAACAUGUGCGCGAGUCAUUGGGACUAGCAAAACCUAAAGGCGAAAUGAAAGUGAAGGUCGGCCUCGGCGCCGACCGAGGGAAGAUGGGCCGCGUCGCGAUGCGGCCUCGCACUCCCGGGGCGUCUCGUUCUCAUCGCGAGAAGAGGCGCACCAAGAGCGUACACGUUGGGACCCGAAAGAUGGUGAACUAUGCCUGGUCAGGACGAAGUCAGGGGAAACCCUGAUGGAGGUCCGUAGCGAUUCUGACGUGCAAAUCGAUCGUCGGAACUGGGUAUAGGGGCGAAAGACUAAUCGAACCAUC